AGAUGUGAGAACAAUCUGACUACAAUAUCUGUUAUCCCAUUGAUCAGCAGGGUUGAUUUAGUUGAUUUGGCUGGCAAGGCAUUUCUUCCCUUCCUCUCUCACCAUUCCUUACAAGUGCAGCUAUCCAGAAACAAACAAGUCCUGAGCAGACAAGUCUUUGGUGGAGGGUAUAGGAGCAAUUGUGCUCACCUGCUAGAACCUACAAGUUCUCAAGAAUACAGCAAAAGGGGGCUGACAGUGGUACAUCUGGUAAAGCACAUACACUAUAGGAGAGCACAACGACCUAGGUUU
ensembl:misc_RNA 7SK 7SK RNA